rnacentral:sRNA from 1 species
AAUUUGUAUGUCUUAUUGAAAACAUCUUUGAAAAAUAGUACUUUUGGUGUGGUAUGUGGUAGGUAAGACUUUGUAAGUUAAGUAGUUGUUCACUGAAUGUUAGCAUCUUUUUUUUUUAAUGUUCAUAUGGCCUUUCUUGCUGUUUAUAAAUUUUAUAAACUAUGUUCACUAUUUGAUCCUGUCAACCAAUAUUAGGAGUAACCACUGCAUUAUAUUUACAUUUGACUCUAUGAUAAUAUGUAAUAUUCACAUUUUGACUCUCUUUGGGAGAAAUAAAGAAUAAAUGUUAGUUCCCAGGCCAAAAUAACAGUUGAUACUUUCUUCUGCAUCAACAUUGCAUCUGUUAGACUGGAAUGAAAACAACACAUAUUCUGAUUAAAGGCUAUGUUUUAUACUUUUCAAGUAAUUAUUUUCAACUUUUUUUCCUUUUUUUUUGAGACAGAGUUUUGCUCUUGUUGCCCAGGCUGGAGUGCAAUGGCGUGAUCUCAGCUCACUGCAACCUCCGCCUCCCGGGUUCAAGCGAUUCUGCCUCGGCCUCCUUAGUAGUUAGGAUUACAGGUGUGUGCCACCACACCCAACUAAUUUUGUGUUUUUAGUAGAGAUGAGGUUUCUUGUUGGCCAGGCUGGUCUUGAACUCCUGACCUCAGGUGAUCCGCCCGCCUCGGCCUUCCAAAGUGCUGGGAUUAUAGGCGUGAGCCAUUGUGCCUGGCCUAUUUUCAGUAUUUUUGUUUAAAUUUUGUAAAAAGGUAAAAUAAAUGAUUUUUGAAAAUAGCUGGAGUUGUUUUCAUAGAGUCUGUGGUUAUAGGACUAUUUAACUAUAUAUUGAGUAAAAUCUAUGCUAUGUCAAGUUUUAUUCAGUUGUCCCUAGUAGAAUAUAUGUCUCUUUUAAUUCUGUAUACAGUAUGAGUAACUCCAGUUUAAAACACUGGUAUUUUAAUGAGUUUAAAUUGUACUGUUAUAUAUUAUGAUACAUAUUUUUCUUCUGGCUGUGGUUUAGUUUUUAAAAUUUUUGAUGUCCAUUUUAAUUUUUAGAAAUAAAAGCUUAAAAAUAUAGGUGGAAGUAGAUUUCAGUUUGAUAAUUAUCUUCGUGAAAGUAUAGUACCUGUGAAAUGGUGGUAAUAAUUUGAUUCUUUAUUCUAUUUUGAUUGUAGCUCCUUACAAAUGUAAGGAGCAUUUGUAAAAUUUAGUUGCUUUAGAGUUAUACAAAUCCUUUUAUUACCAUUUAUUAACUGUUUGUUGUUUUAGGACCUGAUCCCAACCUUGAAGAAAGUCCUAAAAGAAAAAAUAUUACAUAUGAGGAAUUAAGGAAUAAGAACAGAGAGUCAUAUGAAGUAUCUUUAACACAAAAGACUGACCCCUCAGUCAGGCCUAUGCAUGAAAGAGUGCCAAAAAAAGAAGUCAAAGUAAACAAGUAUGGAGAUACUUGGGAUGAGUGAAAAAUUACAUCAUUGGACAUGAAGGAGUUUCAACAUCCAGCUUCAUCUAGGUGGUCAUGAUUACCUGCAUGCUUUGAGCUCAGCAGCAGUCUUCAUAAACACAUUUAAAACAAGAUCCUGGGUUUUUGUGGUUUGACUUCUAUGGUGUUUUAAAAAAAUACAGAUUUUUAGUGUUAAUAUUGUGUAAAUGUACUCACCUUGGGUAUUCAUUUGAAUGAUGGUAUUAUACCAUGAUUGUAUACAGUUUGUGAAAUUGUUGCAAGGGCAAAGAUAACUCUUAAAAAACUGUCGAGAUUACAAUGCUCUAGAAUCAGCAUAUAAGAAAAUAAAUGAUAUCUGCAUGUUGAAUUGGGGUGGAUGGGGGGAGCAAGCAUAAUUUUUAAGUGUGAAGCUUUGCAUCAAGAAAUUAUUAAAAAGCUUUUUUUCUCCAGUAUUUUCUGUAUUAUCUUAAUGUUUAUGGCAAAUAAAAUGUAAAGGAACAUGC